UCGUCAGGAAGGAUAAUCCUUACCUGUUUCUCUACUCAGAGGAUAGAAGAAUGUGAUGAUUAGAGUUCAACAUGAUUCAUGAUUAAUGUCUAAUCGCUCCUAUCUGUU
rnacentral:snoRNA from 1 species